rnacentral:rRNA from 1 species
UCCGGUUGAUCCUGCCAGAGGCCGCUGCUAUCCGGCUGGGACUAAGCCAUGCUAGUCUAGGGGCUUGUACCCCUUCGGGGGUGCAAGCACCGGCGGACGGCUCAGUAACACGUGGACAACCUGCCCUCGGGUGGGGGAUAACCCCGGGAAACUGGGGCUAAUCCCCCAUAGGUGAUGGGUGCUGGAAUGCCCCAUCUCCGAAAGCGCUCAGCGCCCGAGGAUGGGUCUGCGGCGGAUUAGGUAGUUGGUGGGGUAACGGCCCACCAAGCCUAAGAUCCGUACGGGCUGUGGGAGCAGGAGCCCGGAGAUGGACCCUGAGACAAGGGUCCAGGCCCUACGGGGCGCAGCAGGCGCGAAACCUCCGCAAUGCGGGAAACCGCGACGGGGUUAGCCGGAGUGCCCGUGCAUUGCACGGGCUGUCGGGGUGCCUAAACAGCACCCCAUAGCAAGGGCCGGGCAAGGCCGGUGGCAGCCGCCGCGGUAAGACCGGCGGCCCGAGUGGCGGCCACUCUUAUUGGGCCUAAAGCGUCCGUAGCCGGCCCAAUAAGUCCCCCGGGAAAUCUGGUCGCUUAACGAUCAGACUUCCGGGGGAUACUGCUGGGCUAGGGACCGGGAGAGGCCGAGGGUAUUCCCGGGGUAGGGGUGAAAUCCUG